CUUCUUCAUGAUACGAUGCAGCCUAUUCACUGCUUUGCUCUUCAUCGUGAGCAAAUGGAGGGGAAAAGGUUGCUAGAAAAAUCCGAAGUCGACCUUAUACUGGUAUAAUGCUAUUGAUCAUUAUCUUGGUAACUGCGAUUGCGAUACAUGU
rnacentral:snoRNA from 1 species